GAGCAGAUAAGUGCUGGUGUGCUUCGCGGUCUUCAAAACCGUUGCAGGUGGUGAAGAGCUGCCCAGGUGGGUUCGAUUCCCACAUGCUCCC
rnacentral:tRNA from 1 species